rnacentral:rRNA from 1 species
GACGAACGCUGUCGUCGUGCUUAACACAUGCAAGUCGAACGAAGUGGCGAACGGGUGAGUAACGCGUAAUCAACCUGCCCUUCAGAGGGGGACAACAGUUGGAAACGACUGCUAAUACCGCAUACUGAAGGAGGGGAUUGCGUCUGAUUAGCUAGUUGGCGGGGUAACGGCCCACCAAGGCGAGGAUCAGUAGCCGGUCUGAGAGGAUGAACGGCCACAUUGGGACUGAGACACGGCCCAGACUCCUACGGGAGGCAGCAGUGGGGAAUCUUCCGCAAUGGACGAAAGUCUGACGGAGCAACGCCGCGUGAGUGAUGACGGCCUUCGGGUUGUAAAGGACUUUUGUCAGGGAAGCGGUACCUGAAGAAUAAGCACCGGCUAACUACGUGCCAGCAGCCGCGGUAAUAC